rnacentral:lncRNA from 1 species
AAAAAAACAAGGCAUCAGUAUUGUUGAGUAUUAGCUUGUACCUGGUUCGGAGGCUAAGUUUGCCGGAGAAGGCAGGGGUGAGCCACGGUGGCUGCCCGGCUGUGCACCGGCGCCGGAGUUUGGACCAAGACAAAGACAGGAGCUGUCCGCGGUGCUGAAUCGGCGGCGCCGUCGCCGGAGCAAGAGGGCUUCUGUAACCAGCCCUCUGCUCAUUUACUCCCCAUCCUUCUAGCUCCCCUUCGCUCUGUGACUCUUGCCUUCCCCUGAAUUUAUUUCCCUUUUGGGGGACUCACCUUAGAGCCUGCGCCCUGUACACAGGUGUAUAUACAUA